AAUCACAAGUGAAAAUCCUGUAUAUCUCU
rnacentral:tRNA from 1 species